rnacentral:rRNA from 1 species
GAUGAACGCUGGCGGCGUGCUUAACACAUGCAAGUCGAACGGUGAAGGCGGAGCUUGCUCUGCUGGAUCAGUGGCGAACGGGUGAGUAACACGUGAGCAAUCUGCCCCUGACUCUGGGAUAAGCGCUGGAAACGGCGUCUAAUACCGGAUACGAGCUGCGAAGGCAUCUUCAGCAGCUGGAAAGAACUUCGGUCAGGGAUGAGCUCGCGGCCUAUCAGCUUGUUGGUGGGGUAACGGCUCACCAAGGCGUCGACGGGUAGCCGGCCUGAGAGGGUGACCGGCCACACGGGGACUGAGACACGGCCCAGACUCCUACGGGGGGCAGCAGUGGGGAAUAUUGCACAAGGGGCGAAAGCCGGAGGCAGCAACGCCGCGGGGGGGACGACGGCCUUCGGGUGGUAAACCUCUUUUAGCAGGGAAGAAGCGAAAGUGACGGUACCUGCAGAAAAAGCGCCGGCUAACUACGU